rnacentral:rRNA from 1 species
GAUGAACGCUGGCGGCGUGCCUAAUACAUGCAAGUCGAGCGAACGGACGAGAAGCUUGCUUCUCUGAUGUUAGCGGCGGACGGGUGAGUAACACGUGGAUAACCUACCUAUAAGACUGGGAUAACUUCGGGAAACCGGAGCUAAUACCGGAUGAUAUUUUGAACCGCAUGGUUCAAAAGUGAAAGAUGGUCCUGCUGUCACUUAUAGAUGGAUCCGCGCUGCAUUAGCUAGUUGGUAAGGUAACGGCUUACCAAGGCAACGAUGCAUAGCCGACCUGAGAGGGUGAUCGGCCACACUGGAACUGAGACACGGUACAGACUCCAACGGGAGGCAGCAGGAGGGAAGCGUCCGCGAUGGGCGAAAGCCUGACGGAGCAACGCCGCGUGAGUGAUGAAGGUCUUCGGAUCGUAAAACUCUGUUAUUAGGGAAGAACAUAUGUGGAAGUAACUGUGCACAUCUUGACGGUACCUAAUCAGAAAGCCACGGCUAACUACGUG